rnacentral:rRNA from 1 species
GGAUAACCUACCCUUAGGACUGGGAUAACCCUGGGAAACUGGGGCUAAUACCGGAUAGGCAAUUUUUCCUGGAAUGGUUUUUUGUUUAAAUGUUUUUUCGCCUAAGGAUGGGUCUGCGGCCGAUUAGGUAGUUGGUUAGGUAAUGGCUUACCAAGCCGUUGAUCGGUACGGGUUGUGAGAGCAAGAGCCCGGAGAUGGAACCUGAGACAAGGUUCCAGGCCCUACGGGGUGCAGCAGGCGCGAAACCUCCGCAAUGUGAGAAAUCGCGACGGGGGGAUCCCAAGUGCCAUUCUUAGCGGGAUGGCUUUUCAUUAGUGUAAAGAGCUUUUGGAAUAAGAGCUGGGCAAGACCGGUGCCAGCCGCCGCGGUAACACCGGCAGCUCUAGUGGUAACAAUUUUUAUUGGGCCUAAAGCGUCCGUAGCCGGUUUAAUAAGUCUCUGGUGAAAUCCUGUAGCUUAACUGUGGGAAUUGCUGGAGAUACUAUUAGACUUGAGACCGGGAGAGGUUAGAGGUACUCCCAGGGUAGAGGUGAAAUUCUGUAAUCCUGGGAGGACCGCCUGUUGCGAAGGCGUCUAACUGGAACGGUUCUGACGGUGAGGGACGAAAGUUAGGGGCGCGAACCGGAUUAGAUACCCGGGUAGUCCUAACUGUAAACGAUGCGGACUUGGUGUUGGGGUGGCUUUGAGCUGCUCCAGUGC